rnacentral:piRNA from 1 species
AGUGAAAUUGAUAUGGACGAUGGAUUG